rnacentral:rRNA from 1 species
UACGUAGGGGGCAAGCGUUGUCCGGAUUUAUUGGGCGUAAAGAGCGUGUAGGCGGCUAGGUAGGUGGGUUGUGAAAACUGGAGGCUUAACCUUCAGACGUCGAUGGAAACCGUGCGGCUAGAGUCCGGAAGAGGAGAAUGGAAUUCCUGGUGUAGCGGUGAAAUGCGCAGAUAUCAGGAGGAACACCGAUGGCGAAGGCAGGUCUCUGGGCCACUACUGACGCUGAGAAGCGAAAGCAUGGGGAGCGAACAGG